rnacentral:lncRNA from 1 species
AGGUUAAAGUUACACGUUUGGACAGCUUUCAAAGCCAACUUUCAAGCAGAGAAUUAUCUUAGCAGCCAGAAAGCUGUCCUUUCCUUCACCCUCUCCCAGCACCGUGCAAGAGAAGAAGUAAGAGGAACAUCUGGCAAGCUUACCUCAUUCCUUCGCUGGCUCCUUGAAGGCCAUCAUCACAGGAGGGUGCUCAUAGCCUUCACAGAAACCUUCACAGCUCACCAACAGAGCCUCUGCCUGUCCCCAAGAGUGGCAGAGCCCUGCCCUGUCCUUCUCCUCUCUAGGCCUGGGCAGCGCGGCCGGAGCAGAGCCCAGGGAGAUGCCUCCCAGACCCGGCACCAGCUGAGGGAGAUCCCCAUCGCAGCCAGCGGCAAAACAAGGCUGGGAAUUCCAGUCCCAGGGUCAGAAACCAGUCCCCAGUCCAGGCUGCAGGACUUUUCCCAGCUCCACGCUCAAAGACAAACAAAGGUCUGGGGUAGCCAACACUGUCUGACUGACAACGGCACGGAGAGCAGCUGGACUCUUGGAUUGAAAGACCUUCCUGGCAAGAGGAGGGGGCUUUGAUGUGCUGCAAACCAGACCAACUGCAGUCACUGCCCGCAGGCUUGCAGAUAUUCUCAGAAUGAGAAUGGGAACUCCGUUGACAAUGAGUACUUGGUGACGCAUGGGAAUACCUACACUUUUCCAAGCACCUCCAAACUCCAAGUCUGCAUAGCCACUACCAGCUUCUCUGCCAAGGCAACAGCAAGGCUGAGCAGAGCCUCUCAACCCACCCAACACUGACCCUGAGCUCAUGGGAGAGUGGAAAUGGCAAUUGCAUACAAUUGCUUUACAGCCCUUCCUUCUGCCCCAUCUCACAUAACGGACUGUUUAUACGAAACAACCAGAAAAGACAGUAUAUUUUUCUUCAAAAGAUUCUUCUGAGGAAAAAACACAUAAGAAAAAUUUACUCUGACUGGAGGUAUGUGAGCUAUGAGAGUGUCUACACCAGGCAGCCAAAUUGGCAGGCUACAAGUACCUAGGCUGGAUCUCCAUAUUUGCUCAUGGUAUGUUCUUUGCAUGCUCCUCUGACUAUUCCUUUCAGCUGCUGCCUCUGGAGCCUCAUCCAGUGCUACUUAGAUUGAAAUAUCUACAUAACUAAGGAGGAAAAAAGGCUACUGAAAAAAGGAAAUUACAGGAGGAACACUGCAAGAGAAAAAUCAUACCUUAAAUGCCAUUUAAUUAAAUAUUGUGUUAUUUUCAUGAUAAGAACCUUCUCAUGCCUACGAAAAUCAUCUUAUCAGGAUCCGGAAGGAGAUCAGUAGACAACAACAACAUUGCAAAGCAACACAUGAGAACUCUACUAAAGUCAGAACUAAACACUCCUCCACAGAGCUCCCAUCAGCAUAAACCUGAUGACAAGAGCUGGAAUCCUUUCAGAUGAUAUUCAGAAAAAUAAGCAAAGCUCUUCAGAGGGUUUAAUGCCAAAUUGCAUUGUUUGGUGCAGGUAAUUACACACUAGUUUACAUCUAUCAAACACCUAACUAUGAAUUUUGAUUUAUUCUCAGAAUUCUGAUUUCAGUCAAGACGUUCUGGCCUUUCAGUAUAUGCUUUUGUCUUCCAG